GGGCCCAUAAGCUCAAUGGUAAACUGCCGGUCUCCAAAACCGGACUUCUAGGUUCGAAUCCUAGUGGGCCCGCCU
rnacentral:tRNA from 2 species